AUUGAACGCUGGCGGCAGGCUUAACACAUGCAAGUCGAGCGGGGGAAGGUAGCUUGCUACCGGACCUAGCGGCGGACGGGUGAGUAAUGCUUAGGAAUCUGCCUAUUAGUGGGGGACAACAUCUCGAAAGGGAUGCUAAUACCGCAUACGUCCUAUGGGAGAAAGCAGGGGAUCUUCGGACCUUGCGCUAAUCGAUGAGCCUAAGUCGGAUUAGCUAGUUGGUGGGGUAAGGGCCUACCAAGGCGACGAUCUGUAGCGGGUCUGAGAGGAUGAUCCGCCACACUGGGACUGAGACACGGCCCAGACUCCUACGGGAGGCAGCAGUGGGGAAUAUUGGACAAUGGGGGGAACCCUGAUCCAGCCAUGCCGCGUGUGUGAAGAAGGCCUUAUGGUUGUAAAGCACUUUAAGCGAGGAGGAGGCUACUUUAGUUAAUACCUAGAGAUAGUGGACGUUACUCGCAGAAUAAGCACCGGCUAACUCUGUGCCAGCCGCCGCGGUAA
rnacentral:rRNA from 1 species